CCUACGGGAGGCAGCAGUGGGGAAGUUUUGGACAAUGGGCGCAAGCCUGAUCCAGCAAUGCCGCGUGCAGGAUGAAGGCCUUCGGGUUGUAAACUGCUUUUGUACGGAACGAAACGGCUCUUUCUAAUAAAGAGAGCUAAUGACGGUACCGUAAGAAUAAGCACCGGCUAACUACGUGCCAGCAGCCGCGGUAAUACGUAGGGUGCGAGCGUUAAUCGGAAUUACUGGGCGUAAAGCGUGCGCAGGCGGUUAUAUAAGACAGAUGUGAAAUCCCCGGGCUCAACCUGGGACCUGCAUUUGUGACUGUAUAGCUAGAGUACGGUAGAGGGGGAUGGAAUUCCGCGUGUAGCAGUGAAAUGCGUAGAUAUGCGGAGGAACACCGAUGGCGAAGGCAAUCCCCUGGACCUGUACUGACGCUCAUGCACGAAAGCGUGGGGAGCAAACAGGAUUAGAUACCCUGGUAGUCCACGCCCUAAACGAUGUCAACUGGUUNUUGGGUCUUCACUGACUCAGUAACGAAGCUAACGCGNGAGUAGACGCCGNGGAGGACGGCGCGAGUAGUACGUACAAGAGAGUAGACGCGNGAGAGNGCGACGACGACGACGAGGGAGGAGG
rnacentral:rRNA from 1 species